CUGUAGAGGACAAAGCUAGAGGCUCAGACACAACUGGCAGGAGUCCGAUGAGGCAAUCCCAGGCUGGCUUCCCAUCUGAACACGACUUGGGGAGGCAUUGAGGGGUCUCAGAGCACACAGAACAGAGGCUGUGCAAACUGUACUUCCAAAGAUGUCGUCACCACGGAGUGACCAAAAACGGUCUUUCCCUUGCUGAUUUCAAGCAGAGCUCGAACGUCUGAACCCCGCCCAGGAGUUGCACAGUUCUUACACAACUGGGGUUUCCCCCACACUGCUGCGGGUCUCACCCUUCUGUUUUUCUUCCUACAGAAAAGAACAGAUUAACAUCUGGCCCCGAUUUCGGGAUUCUUGCAUCUGCUCAAACCAAAUGAGCUGCCACCAGUCGCCCGACACGAGGACUGUGUGUUCUCUGGGUAGGAAGUUCGAGGGUAAUUUGAAGUCAAACCAAGGGCUGUGGACUCUGUUUUGUGGGAGGAGGAGAUGAAAGCUUGGGAGGCCCUGGUGGCGUUUCUAAUGACUUAGGGCUUUCAUUCGUUUUUGUCUACCGCUAUGACAGAGCAUCACACACUGGGGAAUUUUGUAAAACAAAAGAAAAAGAAAGAAUUUAUUUUUCAUAGGUUGAGCAUGGAUGGGCCAACAGGGAGUCUCCAGCCCCUUGGGAGGACCGUUUUGCUGGCUCAUUAAGGGCCAGAAGCCCAAGAGACCAUGUGUGAGGACCAGGCACAGGCUGGAAGCUAGAGGUGGCGCUGCUUCCUGCUGGGCUUUUUCCAGUGUGAGCAGAAGAAAGCUGCUGCAGGAAGGAGGCUGGAGAUGGGAGGACUGCAGAGCCCCCAACCCCCCAGCCUGCGCAGGACAAGUCCGUGUGCGCUGGAGAAGGAAGCCAUGUCAUCAGGCCCGCUCUGAAAGAAAUUACCAGCAGCGUCACAGGGGUCACAACUACAGUGAUUACGUUUCUUUUUUUAAGCUCUCCUCUGAGACCAUUUUAUGAAAAAAUAUGGUUUAGAAAAACCGUAGCAUAGCAUCCAAGUGAAACAAGUAAAUCCCUACACUCUUGGCCCUAAAUGUGUGAUGCUAUCUAAAACGAUGGUGGCUAGAGUGCAGACAUCAGGUUCUGGAGGCCUGGCCCGAGGCCGCUGGGCCUGCGCGUCCAGGUGACCCCAGAAGCCUGGCUCUGGACCCUGCAGGCCCCUUUGCUUCGCUGCCCCUGUCUCUUCCCAAGAGGCUGGGCUGUCACCCUGUGCCAGGGGCAGAGGCUGGGUUCUGGGGCUGUACCAUGGUUCCUUGCGGUUUUUUUCCCCCCUUUCUAUUAUUAGUUGGUUUCUUAGUUACUCAGCCUGAAGCUGGUGAUUAUUCAUUGCCUAUCACAGUGCCAUUCACAGGGACCACGGGCCAGACAGUAAAUGAAGCUAGUGAAAGUGCAGCCCUUCCGCGUGGAGAUCAAAAGUCGCUGUUAGGAGGAAAUUGAAAGUCGGAAGGCGCAGUGGGUGAAGGGAUAGGAUGUACCGUGGAGUAAGCGUGGGGGCAGGGCUACGUCCCCCACACACACCGGAGAGGGGCGUGUGAUAAACACCCAGAGAGUACAGUGCAAGGACAGGACUUCAGAACGCAGACCCAAGUAUGAAAAAUGAUUAACUUACCAAGUCACCCUUUAAUGAGAAACAGCACCAAUAAGCGUCCUCACAGGCUUCUCUGUGUUGACCUCGUGAUCUGAAUCAAUAGUGAGCACAGUCCUCAGGAGUUUCCAGUUGCAAGUUAAACAGAUGUCAUUUCAUCUGAGGUGUAUCAUUUAUUCAUUCAGCAAACAUAGCAUCAGAUGCUGAGAGGACGAAGGUAAACAAAGCUUACUCUCUGCCAUUAAGGGAGUAAAGUGAAGUGUGCAGUACUGUCAGAAUCACACUCGAAGUUUUGUAACUUGUGGUACUAGGGAUCCAAACCAAGGCCUUCACACUGAGCUAUAUCCCGGGUCCUUUUUUCUUUUUAUCUUGAGACAGGGCCUUCUGAUGUCAGUAAUGUGCCCAGGCUGGGCUCAGACUUGUGAUCCUCCUGCCUCAGCUUCUGAGAGUGCUGGUAGAAAUAAAUGUGGAGCGUGGGUGUCUAGUAGUGGCAGCUGCUCUGCUGAUUCCUGCUGGGAUUAAGGAACGGAGAAAGUCAAGCUUAGAAUCUGCCCCCUCCCCGACCUCCAAAUCCACCCCUCCUGCCCCUGCGCUGGUGAGCACAGGUACUGGGAAUCCGCAGUGGCCUCCCCACUGAGUACUCCCAACCACCUCAGCAUGCAUUGUCUGUUUUCUUUAACCCGUUUCCCACUCAGGAAAAAGAAAAAGGGGCAGCUCACUGCCAGCAUUCAUUCAGUUUUCAGCAAUGGAGAAUGAUUCUUUUAUGCAUGGAAACUUCACUCAGAAAAGCGGAAUGCUGUGAACAACACGAUGCCUCUGUCUCCGGUAACCCUAGAGGGCCAACAUCACAAUAAAAGUGAGACAGUUUGUGGCAAGAUGCGUUAGGGUUAGGACUGCAUCCUGCUGUCACCCUCCAGCUCUCUCGAGGUAAACUCUGUGGCCACAAGCGCGGCUGAGGCACAGAUGUGGUAUCCUGAGGGCUAACUCUUUUCCUAACGCCCCUCACCACUUCUUCCAUGCGCUGGCAGCUGCUUUUGUCGCUUGGUUCCCCCAGGGGCAUGAAGACGGGAUGAUCGGACAGAGCCUGUGAUGAAGCCCCAACUCUGCGUCUCUGGCCGUCCAGCCACAGCCUCAGUUUCCUCCUCAUCCCGUAACAUGCCUGCCACACUGGGCAGUCUGGGCAGCAUGAGACACACCCUGUGGGUCCCAGAUCCCCGGAGUCACCCCUGCAUCCGGUCUGCACCACGCUCAGUGCACAGGCUCUGCUCAUGACAAGCAAUCAGGUCAAGACCAGCACUGCCCACGGGGGCUGUGCCUUCUGUGACUGUAAAUUUCUGGCCUCUGGGUGGUAAAAAGGCCAGGGAGUGAAAUCCGGAGUUGUCAAACCAGGACUGACGUUAGAGGGCUCCUCACUGAGGUAGCUCGUGAGUUUAUCGAAACAAAAACUGAGGCGUGCAGAGUUUGGAGUCCCAGGCCAGGCUCAUGGGGCUGUUUCUUGGCCGGCUGCUCCCCUCCCGGGACACUGCUGCCCUGACCCAGCCGUUUGCCCAUAUAAGGCCAUGUUCGCCAAGUCCUCAGCCACCUUGGAAAGCCACUGCGAUGUUAAACCUGGGGUGACACGCUUUGGGCAAGUCUGAGCAGCCUGCUUGUAGCAGAGCCUGUGGUAUCUGUAAAAUUGAUAAUCCC
rnacentral:lncRNA from 1 species